AUAACAAUUCUGUAGUUGGACCUCUCAAGAAACCGGCGUAACAUAGGGAAAAGAAAGAACACUCCCGCGAGCAUAUUAGGCGCCAAGUAGAAGACCACAGCUAUUAUGAACAAUGAAGGUGAGUGCAUGGCACUCCCAAACCAACUCUUGAUAGUUCUGGCGAAUCCUGGAGGGUCUUCCCAGCUGUAAGCGUAAGUAACAGGCAGAAUAAUAACCCAUGCUGCAGCAGAUAGCACCUUCAGGAUGUAUCUUAGUUUAACAUGUAGCGACAUGCUUCGAUGAGCUUUGAAACUAAGGAUCACAUCAAGAGAAGCUGCACAAGUAGUUUUUUAGUAAAUGAGAUUUCGUCACUCAAGUAAAAACUUAUGAACAUUGACCAACCUUGUCCAAGCUUCAUUAUUGCUGCUGUGAUGAAUACACUCAGAACUUUCUUGAUGACAUCAGCUCCAAAGACCGAACUUGGUUGUCCGCCAUCCCAAGCCAUAAUAAUCAUGGCCUUCCAAAUUUUUAUCAUCAGCGUCACAUCUUGUGUGAAUAAGCAUAAAAAGGGUAAUAACAAAAUUGGGGAGAGUAAUAAUACCUGAAGGCACAGAAUAUAGAAGCUCCACAUUCGAUCGAAACUUCUAAAGACAUGCCAGAAGGAACGAAUCUCAACAAAAUUAACUUUCCCCACCCAUCUAUCUCUGGCCACAGCAGGCUUGCUGUUAUCCUGUGAUAAUAUGAUAAUAAACACAAGAUGUUAGGCAAGUGUUACAAGAACAGAGAAGAUGUGUAGUUAUUGUGUACCCCAUCUUUUUCUGUAUUGGGCUGAUCAACAUGCGGAUAGAAGAAAUCAGCAUCAGCUCUCAUUGGCCAACCUAAACGGAAACAAUCAACUGACCUGCAAUGUAGAAAACCAUAUGUAACUUAAUCACUAAAGCUACUUAUGAAAAGUGUUACAAUUGUGUGAAAGCAGCAGAUUAGAUGGAUAUAUCACCAAAAGUAUUCAUUCAGAUCAUCAUAGUUCCUCCACUGAGAGUGCUUGGACUUGCCUUUCUUGCUCCUUUGAGACUCCUGUGAAUGGUAUAUUAUUAUGUAAGUAAAAAUAUUAACAAGCAAAAGUAAAGAACACAAAAUUUAAGCUAUACCAUGGCAAUCACUUCAUAGAUAGGAGUCACAACUUUCCUCAGGAAUGCAUCUUCCUCGCCUCCAUAAGCUGGCUUCACAUUUUCUCCAGUCAUGGGACUGACAUUCCCAGCCAGCAUACCGUAGAGUUCAAAUGCCAUCUGCAAAACCAUGAAAUAGAGUAGGAAGAAAGAAUUAAAGAAUGAUAGAAUAAAGAAGAAGACUAUGCAACGUGAAACAUACAUGAUGAUAAAUGUAGCAGAGACACUCUGGCAUGAAUCUCAAGUUCGCUGCUUCACCCCAGAUUAGAAGAUAUAGAGCCAUAUACAAUAGUUUCCGCUGUUGCAUUUCCUGUUGUAUAGUUGGCAACCUGCAAGCAGAUAUGACAUUUAAACAUGUUUCUUCAAAGAUUGUCGACACUAGAGUUUGUAUAAACAUUUAGCCACAAACAAGAAACUUGAUUCCCUGCUCAUGAAGAAUAUAAGUCUAACCUUUCCUUAGACCAGUACCAUACCAUUGCACAUUUCUUUAGAUUUUCAAACUUGUAGCUACUCUUGAAGGAACUAUACAGAAUCAACUAUAGGUGUAUAGGAUUCACUUACCAAAGACUACUCUUUCGACCAAGGUAUUUGCACCAUUUCUUAUAGUUCUUGAAGAGCUUCUUCAUCACAUCCGUCAGUGCUUGAUCAUCUAACUGUGAGAGGAAAUACGUUUGUCAUUCUUAGAACUAAACUUUAUUGAAAUAAAAGUACGAACCUUUGGCUGCUGAUCAGGCUUAGGAAACUGUCUGAUAUGCACAUUAGCAAGUAACAAGAUCAGGUGCUCCCUUUGAUUAGCCACAUUGUCUUUCUGCAGAAUCAUAACAUACACAUGACAAAACAUUCACAGACUUAUAGAUUACUCUCAACUAAACUUCCCUGACUAAUAAAUUUACCUGAAAGCCAAACAUUUCCUGAAGCCAAUCAAGCAUGUCUUCAUCUUUCUUUUUCUUGUGACCUUCUGGCCAUGGAAGACCUCUAGUGUUGCGAAGACCAAGAACAGCAGCUUGGAUCUGCACAGUAAGGAUCACAUUACCCCGCUGAUAUAUAACAGUGCCCAAAGUUAAGACUAACCUCAGGGUAUCUCAUAAUCGCUUGAUUUGCACUAUCGGGAUCCAGAGGUAAGAUAUUAUAGUGGACAUACAACUGUGUCUUCUCAGCAACCUUAUCUUGAGCUUCGCUGUCUUUUGCCAUAUCCAAUGCUAUUGGAAUCUACGGCCAAAAAAAAAUAAAUCAGAGAAUCCUAAAGAUUAAAUUCCAAUGUUGGUUAUGUGAAGACAAACCUUGCUAGCCAAUAAGAACGGAGGCCACUGUAUGAGAUCCAAAUCACGGUCAGCCCAAUAUGGAACAAGCAGCAGAUCCAUCUCCCUGGAAAAGUCCAAAACGUUGAGUUCCACAUAGUUCAUUUUCAGCUCGGUAUGUGGCAUACAAAAUUUACCUAUCACUUAUAAGAUCUUCCUCUCUGAAACUACUGAUGAUUGUGUUCCACAACUGUGCAAAUCUUGCAGCUUCUUUCUCUUUGUUAACAGGUACCUGAAGUGAACAUUCAUGCAGUUAGUGAGAAGAAACGUUCAUGAUCGCAGUUUACUCGGUUCAACUAACCUUAUCCUCUGUAAAGUUGUGAGAUAAAGUUGCCCUUAAUCCCUUCUUCCUCUGCUGGUUCUUUCCAUCUGGAAUCAAGCGGUCAUUAAAAGCUCCAGGCAGUGAUUCAAACCGUGAUCUAAGCAUUCCCAGUGUCCGAAUCUGUAACAAUUAAAAGAAAGGUAAGGAUGAAGGGAUCAUCAAUGACAAUAAAAAGGGAAACCUCAAGUUCAAAUACCUCUCCAAGGCGUCGGAAGGCACCGUAUAUACCUCCAAAUAUUGUGGAGAAUAUUGCAUACCAAAUCUGACUAUCCAUGAAGUACACCUACAGAGGGAUGGACACAAAAAUCAAAAUCAGCAGAAGCACAACGUAGGGGAAGACGAGGAACAAUGUUGGACGUGACUAUGUUUACCAGAAUAAUAGGGGCCCAAAGAGCAAUAACGACACCAAUAUUGUUUUUGGCUGCACAAGUAAAAUGAAAUGUGUGAAUACAAGUAAUAUAUUUUACUUCCAGUAGUCAUGUAGUGUAUGUGACAAGUCGUUACCACGAGGAAAGAACUCAUGCCACUGAAAAUCUGUCACACGGGCCCUCAUGAUAGCUUGUGUUGGAGCAACUAAAGGCUUGAUCUGUAGCGAUACCAAUUUUAUCAGACUCUUGUGGCAAUAAGGAGCAGUUAAUGGUUAUCACAACUAGAGUAAGAGAAACAUGUACCUCAAUGUAGUAACUGAACGUCAGCUUUGUUGCAAUAAGCAACACCCAGAACAUGGUAUAUCUACCAAAGGAAAAUGUAAAAAGAAUAAGUAACCAAAAGCCAAUGAUGUGUUAAAAAUAUAGUCCUUACUUGAAGAGGGAAAAUGCACUCUCAUGCAUUCCUCUGCCAACAUAGAGUCUAGGCUGCAAGGUUAAAUAAAAGACGGUUAUUUAUUGUCACACCAGUUAUAAUAAAAAUUAAAAACUGAUGAUUGUUUUCUAAGAAUACCUGAGACCACCACAUCAUUAGCAUAACAAUUCUGUAGUUGGACCUCUCAAGAAACCGGCGUAACAUAGGGAAAAGAAAGAACACUCCCGCGAGCAUAUUAGGCGCCAAGUAGAAGACCACAGCUAUUAUGAACAAUGAAGGUGAGUGCAUGGCACUCCCGAACCAACUCUUGAUAGUUCUGGCGAAUCCUGGAGGGUCUUCCCAGCUGUAAGCGUAAGUAACAGGCAGAAUAAUAACCCAUGCUGCAGCAGAUAGCACCUU
rnacentral:lncRNA from 1 species